AUAGGAGCCAUAUUGUUAUGAUCUUUUACACUUAUGCAAGAAUGCCAAGAUGUGAUGCGGCAUAUAUUCACAUUGUAAAUUGCUAGUUAGUUAGCUAGCAGACAACAAUAAGUGAGCACAGUUCCCCAAUCAGGGUGAUAGGAGAAAAACAUGACAAUACAAGCAUAAACCAGUGAACAUAUAACCUGACAAUAAAGAGGUGGUGCUGCUAAUACAUUAAUUAAUCUACAAAAGUUGACAAUAAACCAAACAUAUGUUGGUGACAAUACAAGCAAUAACAUGACAAUAAAGAGGUGUUGCUGUUGCUGCUGACAAUACAAGUCGUUUACCAACAAGAGUUGCAUCACACAGCCAUACAAGAUUUAUUUGUUCUUUUCCCUUGCUUGCCUUGUACUGGAAAUAAACCAAACAUAUGCUGUCAAAGAAACUGUCAAUAUUGCCACAAUAUCUUGUGGCCAUGUCAGGACCACAUCUUAGAUUAUUUUCUACAAUGAACAUCAAGUUAG
rnacentral:lncRNA from 1 species